UCGAGCGGAUGAAGGGAGCUUGCUCCUGGAUUCAGCGGCGGACGGGUGAGUAAUGCCUAGGAAUCUGCCUGGUAGUGGGGGAUAACGUCCGGAAACGGGCGCUAAUACCGCAUACGUCCUGAGGGAGAAAGUGGGGGAUCUUCGGACCUCACGCUAUCAGAUGAGCCUAGGUCGGAUUAGCUAGUUGGUGGGGUAAAGGCCUACCAAGGCGACGAUCCGUAACUGGUCUGAGAGGAUGAUCAGUCACACUGGAACUGAGACACGGUCCAGACUCCUACGGGAGGCAGCAGUGGGGAAUAUUGGACAAUGGGCGAAAGCCUGAUCCAGCCAUGCCGCGUGUGUGAAGAAGGUCUUCGGAUUGUAAAGCACUUUAAGUUGGGAGGAAGGGCAGUAAGUUAAUACCUUGCUGUUUUGACGUUACCAACAGAAUAAGCACCGGCUAACUUCGUGCCAGCAGCCGCGGUAAUACGAAGGGUGCAAGCGUUAAUCGGAAUUACUGGGCGUAAAGCGCGCGUAGGUGGUUCAGCAAGUUGGAUGUGAAAUCCCCGGGCUCAACCUGGGAACUGCAUCCAAAACUACUGAGCUAGAGUACGGUAGAGGGUGGUGGAAUUUCCUGUGUAGCGGUGAAAUGCGUA
rnacentral:rRNA from 1 species